UCUCCCGUUGUUCUAGCUCAGUGGUAGAGCGGUCGGCUGUUAACCGAUUGGUCGUAGGUUCGAAUCCUACUUGGGGAGAU